GACAGGUCUCCAAGGAGGACAUACGGAGGGCCCAGAAACAUGUGAAAGGAUUUUCAACAUCAUUAGCCACCAGAGAGAUGCAAAUUAAAACCACAAUGAGAUACCAUUUCACACUAGUCAGAAUGGCCAUUACAAAGAAAUCAACAAACAAAAAUUGCUGGUGAGGUUGUGG